rnacentral:rRNA from 1 species
UACGUAGGGUGCGAGCGUUAAUCGGAAUUACUGGGCGUAAAGCGUGCGCAGGCGGUGAUGUAAGACAGAUGUGAAAUCCCCGGGCUCAACCUGGGAACUGCAUUUGUGACUGCAUCGCUGGAGUGCGGCAGAGGGGGAUGGAAUUCCGCGUGUAGCAGCGAAAUGCGUAGAUAUGCGGAGGAACACCGAUGGCGAAGGCAAUCCCCUGGGCCUGCACUGACGCUCAUGCACGAAAGCGUGGGGAGCAAACAGG